GCCUCGGUGGUGUAGUGGGUAGAACACGAGUACCCGGAUAGGACAAAACACGGGUUUGAUUCCCGCCUGAGGCC